rnacentral:misc_RNA from 1 species
UGCAUUGCAGGUAUAUAUCAAGGACAAUGGACAGGAGGCAUGCGACAUGGCUACGGGAUCAGAAACAGUGUUCCAUAUGGCAUGGCUUCUAUCGUUAGACCAUCACUACGGACAUCCCUCACAUCGUUACGCAGCGAACAUGAAAAUGGUUCCAUCGCGAGCUCGCCAGAAAACUUUGGACAGCGGGGAGGGUUUGCAAUGGACGUUUCCGACGACUGUACCUCCGACUUGGAAAGCACCAAGAGUGCCACACUUAAGCGGAAUGAGACCUCGCGGAGGAGUAGGACACUCAUGGGUGGGUUUAGGAGCAAACGUAGGAAAGACAGGAACAGAGAUUCUUUGGUAGAAAGCGGGGGCAGUGUCGCUUCUCUGAGACACAACCUUAAACAUCAAGACUCACUAAAGAGUAACGAAAGUACUAUGAGCACAAGUUCAGUGCAAUCAUCAUGUUUUGAGAGUGAUAUGGGACACAUGCACGAAGAAGAGGCUUCUCACGAUGUGACUGAGGUCUACAUGGGUGAAUGGAAGCAGGACAAAAGGGCGGGGUAUGGUACAAGCCAAAGAUCAGAUGGCUACCAUUAUGCCGGGGAGUGGCAUAACAAUAAGAGACAUGGCUACGGGUCAUUGACAUACCCUAAUGGCCAGAAGGAGGAAGGCAAAUGGAAACAGAAUAUGUUAGUUGCAUCAGGAAAAAAGAAACUCUUUGUUAUUGGAUCAAAAAAGAUAAGUGACCGGGUAGAGCAUGCUGUGGAUUUGGCAGGACAGGCUGCUAAUCUUGCACGAGCUAAGGCUGACCUGGCAAUAUCUAGGGCUGCGUAUGCAAAGGAGAAAGCUGAGAUGUCUGAUGUGGAAGCCUCAGAAGCCAGAGAAGAAUCAAUCAAGGCUAGAGCUAGAGCUAAAGAUCUUGCUUCAACAUUACCACCAAGAGCAGGAGAAGGUGGCGACAUCAAGCUAGACAGGAAAAAGAGCUUCUUUGGUCGUCACUUAGGGGGCUUUGAUCGUAAGAACAGAAUGAGAGGAACCAUCGUGAAAUCCAGAUCAGGAAGCAGGUCAGAACGUGGUGAGGGCUCCCAUCCAUCUUCUCAAUCAAGUGACCGGUCUAUUCCAAGUGGAUUGUCCAAUGAAUGGGACGGCCGUGGAGCCAGUCCACAGAGUGACAGUCAAAUGAGAGAGGCUCGGUCGACGGGAAACCUUUGUGAUGGUAGUCCAGUUCCUAGGAGACAUCUCAGAACCUUGGACAGGAUGGGCAAUUCUCAACAGAGCAACCCGUCGGACUCCAGUCCUCAAAUGGAUAGGAGGAUGUUGACUAUGAGAGAGUAUCAUCAGAGGGAGUAUCAUAGCAUGGAUGAGAGAUACGGUCCUGAUGGUAGAGAAUACCACAUGGAUAGGAACAGGCAUUAUAGUGAUAGGUCCUUGGCGGAUCUUACUCCUGAUUCAGGGAUCAGUACAACAUCAGAUUCUGACCGCUUGAGGAGGGAAGCCAUGAGAUCGAAUCAGAGGAAAGGACCACCUAGGAGACAACUCACCCGACAGGAGGGCCUGGAUGAUGCGUAUCACAGUAGUCAUGGUAACAAUCGUGAUCGAUACGAUGCCCAUUAUAACGACUAUGGAGAUGAAUAUUACGAAGAUGAAUCGAUAUAUGACAAGGAGGAGGAGGACCCAUACCUUGAUGAUCACAUGGUUGAUGAUGAUGAUCAAGAGAAAUUAAAGCAACAGCAGUUAAAACAGAAGAAGAAGAUCAAGAUCACUGAACUAGCUACCAAGGUAGAUGCAGCCCCUCCUGGACAUUACCGGACCUUCCAAGGAAGGUUUCCAGCAACAUGUGGUAUCAAGUAUCAACCUAAGCCAGAGGGAGAAGAGGAUGAUGUUAGAGACCCAGAGCUAGAUGGAGAGGGGGCACUUGUUGUACAUUCUGCUAAAAUGAACUGGGCUGCAAGCAAAGGUCUGACCGUUCUAGUCCUGGUGCUUAACGUGGGUUUUACAGUCCUAUUCACAAGUCUCUUCUUACAGAUGGAAGAAGAAGGGAACUGGGAUAGCUGGCCCUAGUCCUGUCCCAACUACUGGUCCUCAAAACAUGUACAUACCGUUUCUUGCUUCAAGUUUGACUGUGACGUGACAGCAAGCAUGGCCUUAAUUUUGUUUAUGAAUUGGAAGCCGUGAUUAAGUUGCAGCAAACGUCUUUGGCCUUGAGUUGUAGUCUCAUUCACCUUGCAUGACCUGUAUAUACACAAACUUUGUUUCUAAGGGAGCACCUGACUAGAUGAUAAAGGAGCUGGGCUCCUAGCUGGUUCCACAAUGGAAACAUUACUCUACUUGGAGAUAGAAUUAUAGCCUACUCUACUAGAAAGUUGGAAAUACAUAGAAGCAGGAAUCCUUAUAACUACAAGAAAACAAGUAUCAGAGGGGGUUGGUGUUGCAUGCCGCAACUAAUAUUUAUUUAAACCUGGUCUGCCAGCAAGGGCCUUAUCUUCUUAGUCCUGGUCCUGAACGUAGGCUUUACAGUCCUCUUCACUAGCCUCUUCCUACAGAUAGAAGAAGAAGGAGAAUGGGAAAACUGGCCCUGACAUUCACAAGACCAUCUUCAACGAUUGAUUACCAAACUGGUCGCACCAUCAGUCAUCCUGAUACCCAUGAUGUUGUAAGAGAGAGAGAGAGAGGAUUGAAGGGUCUAGGCAAGAGAGAGGGAGAACUCUUCCUCAUGAUGAUAAAAAUAAGUGACAAAGCACAAGGGUGAAAAUAAUUGACGUUUGAAAUUUAGCUUAGUAAACCGAUGAAGUCAGGAAUACGAUAUCAGAUCAGGAGCUCUCUCUUCACAAAAUACAUCAGCCUUGAUUUCACAUUCAUUUAUUAAUUUCAGCCUUUUUAUUACUAUCUAUGAAUCAUAUGAAACAUGGAGUGCAUUAUAGAAUUGCUUUUUGUAGUAGAGUAUUCAUGAAUUUAACAAGUAGAAGGAGAAAAUUAACAUAUAAAAAAGAUAUAAGACGUUUCAAGGCAGCUUGAAAGUUUGGGACAAAUAAUUGACCAGAUAUUUGACUCCGAAAUAGUUUGUGUUAGGUAAGAAAACCUGAGACUACUGCUUGAAAAUGAGAGACUCUCCUUGUUUCUGAUUGGCUGGCUAAAGUAGAGAAGAUAGCCAUGACAACUUAUAUAUUUCUUUCACUUUGAUUGUGCUUUGUGGAUAAGUGGAAAGAUAAUUCAUUUGUUGCAAAGUACAAAGGGCAGGAUCAUUCCAUUUUCUCAAAAGAAAUUUGAUAAAGAAUUAUUGGCCUGUCGAAAAUAGGAUUACCUAAUAAUAGUACUGAAUGUUUUUUUUCCUAUACAUAAAUGAAUAAUGUGCUAUUCUAAAUUUCUUGGCAAAUCAUUAUUUUUUUUUUCAGAAUGGUGAAUAGUAACUUUUAAGGAUGGGGGGAAAAAGCAGCACAUAAAUUCCCAUUAUGAGGCACCUUUAGCAUUCUUUGAAAUGGAUAUAUGUGCAUUAAUACUGUUGCUAUUAUCAUCAUUCGUAUCACUAUUGUUGUCACUAUUAUUAAAAGUAGUCUCAAAUUGAAUCUUUAUUACUGGAUCAUAAAAAUUGCAGUUAUUUGUUCCUUUUCAACAAGAUACCAAGUAUCCAUUUUAUUCCUGAAGGAUGUGACCACCCUUAAGCUGCUACAGAAAAAAAAAGAGUAAGAACUUUUAGGUAAAACAGUUCUACUUCAUCAGGGUCCUGUUGCUAUUAUAGUAACUUUGCCAUGCAAUUGUAACUAUCAUGCUUGUGGGCGUGUCGUGGUCUAGUUCUGACUCUCGCCUUUCAAACAGAGGGUCGUUGGUUUGAAUCCUAAUCAUGGCGUGUUUUCCUUCAGCAAGAA